AAGGUGCUUGUUUAAGCCCAUAGAGAGCCUUUUUCAGCUUAAGCACUUUUCCCUCUUCUUUCUUGAAACCUUUGGGUUGAUCAACAUACACUUCCUCUUCAAGUUCUCCAUUGAGGAAUGCUGAUUUGACAUCAAGUUGGGAAAUCUUCCAACUCCUUUGAGCUGCAAGUGCAACAACAGUUCUAAUGGUGUCUAGUCGAGCCACAGGAGCAUAGGUUUCAUUGAAAUCUAUCCCAGGCUGUUGACAUGGAACAAGCUCCCAGGUAUUGUUUUUCUCAAUCAUCUUGAUCUCCUCCUUCAAUGCAUCCACCCAAACUGAUUCUUUUACAGCAGCUGUAUAGUUUUUAGGUUCCGAAGAGGUAUAGUUGCAAGAUUUAUAGAUUUCACUUAGAGGUCUUAAUCUUCUAGGAGGUGACUCGAGUGAAGAUUGGUCUGAAACUUCAAGGUCGCUAUCAAAACUUUGUGCUGAAGUUGGUGUUGCUGGCCGAUUAUCAUCAUCAUUUUCAAGCCUCACUUCAGGUUCUCCAAUUGCUGGGAUAUGGAUAUAGCAUAUGCAUCCAAAGAUUUUAAGGUGACCAGCAGUAGGUUUGUGACCAGCAGUAGGUUUCUACCCACUCCAAGUUUCAAUAGAAGUUAAAUCCUUCACAGCCUUUGUAGGGCAUCUAUUUAGGAGAUACACGGCUGUGUUGACAGCCUCAGCCUAAAACUUUUUGGGAAGCCCUUUUGCCAUUAGCACAGAUCUGGCCAUCUCCAUGACAGUCCUAUUUUUCCUCUCCGAAACUCCAUUUUGCUGUGGAGUAUAGGCAACUGUCAACUGGUGUUCCAACCUUUCAUUUUUGCAAAACUCAUCAAACUUUCGAGUUAAACUCAGUACCUCUAUCACUUCUCAAGAUUUUGAGUUUUCUGCCACUAAGAUUUUCCACCAGCAAAUUGAAUUUCUUAAAAAUUUCAAAAGCUGUGUUUUUUCUUUGAAGAAAUACA